GACGAACGCUGGCGGCGUGCUUAACACAUGCAAGUCGAACGGAAAGGCUCUGCUGUUGUUUGGUGCUCGAGUGGCGAAGGGGUGAGUAACACGUGAGUAACCUUCCCUUGACUUUGGGAUAACUUCAGGAAACUGGGGCUAAUACCGGAUAGGAGCGCCUGCUGCAUGGUGGGGGAUGGAAAGUUUCGGCGGUUGGGGAUGGACUCGCGGCUUAUCGGCUUGUUGGUGGGGUAGUGGCUUACCAAGGCUUUGACGGGUAGCCGGCCUGAGAGGGUGACCGGCCACAGUGGGACUGAGAUACGGCCCAGACUCCUACGGGAGGAAGCAGUGGGGAAUAUUGCACAAUGGGCGGAAGCCUGAUGCAGCAACGCCGCGUCCGGGAUGACGGCCGUCGGGUUGUAACCCGCUUUCGCCUGUGACGAAGCGUGAGUGACGGUAAUGGGUAAAGAAGCACCGGCUAACUACGUG
rnacentral:rRNA from 1 species